rnacentral:rRNA from 1 species
AUAUUGCACAAUGGGCGCAAGCCUGAUGCAGCCAUGCCGCGUGAAUGAAGACGGCCUUCGGGUUGUAAAGUACUUUCAGCGGGGAGGAAGGCGAUAAGGUUAAUAACCAUGUCGAUUGACGUUACCCGCGGAAGAAGCACCGGCUAACUCCGUGCCAGCAGCCGCGGUAAUACGGAGGGUGCAAGCGUUAAUCGGAAUUACUGGGCGUAAAGCGCACGCAGGCGGUCUGUCAAGUCGGAUGUGAAAUCCCCGGGCUUAACCUGGGAACUGCAUUUGAAACUGGCAGGCUAGAGUCUUGUAGAGGGGGGUAGAAUUCCAGGUGUAGCGGUGAAAUGCGUAGAGAUCUGGAGGAAUACCGGUGGCGAAGGCGGCACCCUGGACAAAGACUGACGCUCAGGUGCGAAAGCGUGGGGAGCAAAC